UACGGGGGGGGCAAGCGUUGUUCGGAAUUACUGGGCGUAAAGGGCGCGUAGGCGGCCCGCUAAGUCGAACGUGAAAUCCCCAGGCUCAACCUGGGAACUGCGUCCGAUACUGGCAGGCUUGAAUCCGGGAGAGGGAUGUGGAAUUCCAGGUGUAGCGGUGAAAUGCGUAGAUAUCUGGAGGAACACCGGUGGCGAAGGCGGCAUCCUGGACCGGCAUUGACGCUGAGGCGCGAAAGCCAGGGGAGCGAACGGG
rnacentral:rRNA from 1 species